UACGGAGGGUGCAAACGUUGCUCGGAAUCAUUGGGCGUAAAGCGCACGUAGGCGGCUAGAUAAGUCGGGCGUGAAAGCCCUGGGCUCAACCCAGGAAGUGCAUUCGAAACUGUCUAGCUUGAAUCUCGGAGGGGGUCAGAGAAUUCCCGGUGUAGAGGUGAAAUUCGUAGAUAUCGGGAGGAAUACCAGUGGCGAAGGCGCUGACCUGGACGAAGAUUGACGCUGAGGUGCGAAAGCGCGGGGAGCAAACAGG
rnacentral:rRNA from 1 species